GAUGAACGCUGGCGGCGUGCCUAAUACAUGCAAGUCGAGCGAACAGACGAGGAUCUUGCUCCUCUGACGUUAGCGACGGACGGGUGAGUAACACGUGGAUAACCUACCUAUAAGACUGGGAUAACUUCGGGAAACCGGAGCUAAUACCGGAUAAUAUAUUGAACCGCAUGGUUCAAUAGUGAAAGACGGUUUUGCUGUCACUUAUAGAUGGAUCCGCGCCGCAUUAGCUAGUUGGUAAGGUAACGGCUUACCAAGGCAACGAUGCGUAGCCGACCUGAGAGGGUGAUCAGCCACACUGGAACUGAGACACGGUCCAGACUCCUACGGGAGGCAGCAGUAGGGAAUCUUCCGCAAUGGGCGAAAGCUUGACGGAGCAACGCCGCGUGAGUGAUGAAGGUCUUCGGAUCGUAAAACUCUGUAAUUAGGGAAGAACAAAUGUGUAAGUAACUAUGCACGUCUUGACGGUACCUAAUCAGAAAGCCACGGCUAACUACGUG
rnacentral:rRNA from 1 species